rnacentral:lncRNA from 1 species
CGGCUUUUCACCCAGAGGUUGCAUCCUGGCAGCCUUGCAGGUCACAUUCCUUCUGCAGACAUGUUUAGUUGGAUCCACUAGAAUUUCCAAACAUUCUGAGUCAUUAUUUAAAAAAAACCUAGACUUGAGUUUCUAGAUUCUGUUCCAAAACUCGGAAUAUCAGACCUGCACCUGCACCCCACGUGGUGCUCGCUGUGGGAAGCCCCUAGCAGCCUGGGAGAAGGAUCUACACAUCUGCAGAUAGCAUCAGACAGGAAAUGGGUGUGAGCACCAGUAGGCACAAUGCCUGCCCUCCCCACCUUUACCUCCCAGGGAGCACUAGAAAUGAAUGCGAGCAGAAUGCAACUGGAGAUGGCUUUAAAUAAUGCAGAUAACCAGAACCAUGGAAUCUUUAUGUCUAAUAUCUACUUAUGAAGCCAUUUUCUCUGUUGCACCCGGAGAGCUGAGGUCUACAUGCAAGGGAGAAGAAGCAUGGUCCUCAGGCAGUGGAUCUGCUAGUGCUCUGGUGAGACACAUGAAUCCCCUCUAAUGCUAUGGAUGACAGCCAUGAUGGGAUGUGGCAAUUGACAACAUCCCAGAGUAGGCAUCUGGGUGAUGAAGCUUAAGGUCAUCUGAAGAAUCCUGGCCCUCUUGCCUCUAGUCACGGUGGCUGGAGGGAGUAGCUAUUAGCUCCGCAGUCUGUGUAUACCCAGCUGUAUCAAGCACUACUCUGAUCCAGGACUUCGCAAAGUCAACAGGUCUACUGGACAACAUGAACAACACCCUCCAUUCCAACUUUCACAUCUGAAAGAGGUGGAAAGGAACUGAGGGCUGAGCAGCCGGAACCCGCCUCUGUAUGUUUGCCAUCAGGGUCUGAGGCAGAGUUCUGUGGAGGAGCUCUGUAUUCCCUUUCUGCCCCACUCUCCUCCAAUGCCUCACUGGGUCAAGCCAAGGAAUUUUAGGUGGGAGAGCCACACAGCACAGGUAUCUGCAGAAAGGUAGGGGCUGGUCCAGGUAUCUCUUUCUAGAACUCCACCCAGAGAGCUACUCUCAGACAAGACUCCAUGUGGAUGGCACAGAAGGUCCUGGGUGGGCCAGGAUUCCCAAAAAGACAGAGCGAGGUGCCAACAAGACUCAGACCUCAGCACAACAGUCAUUUGGUUGUCAGAAAUUAAAAGAAAAAUACAAUCCAGUGGCCCUAUUUCUUUAAGGCAAUGUCUUGCUGUGACAGUUAGGCUAGCCCUGAACUUGAAAUCCUCCUGUAUUCCAGGAUGACCACAUCUGUUUUCCACAGCCCUUAAAGAUUCUACUGAAGAAAGAAUAGGGCCAAGAGCAUUAGAGGCAGAAUGGAUAGGAGAGAGGGGUAAAGGCUGAAUAAUAGAUACCAAAUUACACUUAGAUUGUAGGGAAGAGGUCUAGUUUCUA